ensembl:lncRNA
AGGUAGCCUAGUGGUUAGAGUGUAGAGGCGGCAGGUAGCCUAGUGGUUAGAGUGUAGAGGAGGCAGGUAGCCUAGUGGGUAGAGUGUAGAGGUGGCAGGUAGCCUAGUGGUUAGAGUGUAGAGGUGGCAGGUAGUCUAGUGGUUAGAGUGUAGAGGUGGCAGGUAGCCUAGUGGUUAGAGUGUAGAGGCAGGUAGCCUAGUGGUUAGAGUGUAGAGGAGGCAGGUAGCCUAGUGGUUAGAGUGUAGAGGUGGCAGGUAGCCUAGUGGUUAGAGUGUAGAGGUGGCAGGUAGUCUAGUGGUUAGAGUGUAGGGGAGGCAGGUAGCCUAGUGGUUAGAGUGUAGAGGUGGCAGGUAGCCUAGUGGUUAGAGUGUAGAGGUGGCAGGUAGCCUAGUGGUUAGAGUGUAGAGGUGGCAGGUAGUCUAGUGGUUAGAGUGUAGAGGAGGCAGGUAGUCUAGUGGUUAGAGUGUAGAGG